rnacentral:piRNA from 3 species
UCAAGUGUAGUAUCUGUUCUUAU